GACGAACGCUGGCGGCGCGCUUAAUACAUGCAAGUCGAACGAGAAGCCAGAGCUUGCUCUGGUGGAAAGUGGCGAACGGGUGAGUAACACGUGAGAAACCUGCCCAAAGAUUGGGAUAAGCCUUGGAAACGAGGUCUAAUACCAAAUACCUUCUUUUUAACACAUGUUAAAAAGAAGAAAUGCUCCGGCGCUUUGGGAUGGUCUCGCGAUCUAUCAGUCUUGUUGGUGAGGUAACGGCUCACCAAGGCAUCGACGGAUAGCUGGUCUGAGAGGAUGUCCAGCCACAUUGGAACUGA
rnacentral:rRNA from 1 species